rnacentral:rRNA from 1 species
UACAGAGGUCUCAAGCGUUGUUCGGAUUCAUUGGGCGUAAAGGGUGCGUAGGUGGCGGGGCAAGUCAGGUGUGAAAUCUCGGGGCUCAACCCCGAAACUGCACUUGAUACUGCUUUGCUCGAGUACUGGAGAGGAGACUGGAAUUCAUGGUGUAGCAGUGAAAUGCGUAGAGAUCAUGAGGAAGACCAGUGGCGAAGGCGGGUCUCUGGACAGUUCCUGACACUGAGACACGAAGGCCAGGGGAGCAAACGGG